rnacentral:rRNA from 1 species
AGCAGUCGCCGCGGUAAUACGGAGGGUGCAAGCGUUAAUCGGAAUUACUGGGCGUAAAGCGCACGCAGGCGGUCUGACAAGUCAGAUGUGAAAUCCCCGGGCUUAACCUGGGAACUGCAUUUGAAACUGUCAGGCUGGAGUCUUGUAGAGGGGGGUAGAAUUCCAGGUGUAGCGGUGAAAUGCGUAGAGAUCUGGAGGAAUACCGGUGGCGAAGGCGGCCCCCUGGACAAAGACUGACGCUCAGGUGCGAAAGCGUGGGGAGCAAACAGGAUUAGAUAUCCCGGUAGUCCCUGUCUCUUAUAC